rnacentral:rRNA from 1 species
GGGCCCGCACAAGCGGUGGAGCAUGUGGUUUAAUUCGAUGAUACGCGAGGAACCUUACCAGGGCUUAAAUGCAGAACGACAGAGGUGGAAACACCUCCUUCUUCGGACGGUCUGCAAGGUGCUGCAUGGUUGUCGUCAGCUCGUGCUGUGAAGUGUCGGGUUAAGUCCCAUAACGAGCGCAACCCCUAUUUCUAGUUGCCAGCGGUUCGGCCGGGGACUCUAGAGAAACUGCCAGCGUAAGCUGUGAGGAAGGUGGGGAUGACGUCAAAUCAUCACGGCCCUUACGUCCUGGGCUACACACGUGCUACAAUGGUAGGGACAGAGAGUUGCCAACCCGCGAGGGUGAGCUAAUCCUUAAAAGAUGCCUCAGUUCGGAUUGCACUCUGCAACUCGAGUGCAUGAAGCUGGAAUU